GACGAACGCUGGCGGCGUGCUUAACACAUGCAAGUCGAACGGAAAGGCCCCUUUGGGGGUACUCGAGUGGCGAACGGGUGAGUAACACGUGAGUAACCUGCCCUUGACUUCGGGAUAACUUCAGGAAACUGGGGCUAAUACCGGAUAGGAAUCCUUGCUGCAUGGUGGGGGUUGGAAAGCUUCGGCGGUUUUGGAUGGACUCACGGCGUAUCAGCUUGUUGGUGGGGUAGUGGCUUACCAAGGCUUUGACGGGUAGCCGGCCUGAGAGGGCGACCGGCCACAUUGGGACUGAGAUACGGCCCAGACUCCUACGGGAGGCAGCAGUGGGGAAUAUUGCACAAUGGGCGGAAGCCUGAUGCAGCAACGCCGCGUGCGGGAUGACGGCCUUCGGGUUGUAAACCGCUUUCAGCAGGGGCGAAGCUUGUGGUGACGGUACCUGCAGAAGAAGCACCGGCUAACUACGUG
rnacentral:rRNA from 1 species